rnacentral:rRNA from 1 species
AGUGGCGGACGGGUGAGUAACACGUAGGAAUCUAUCCCAGGGUGGGGGACAACAGCGGGAAACUGCUGCUAAUACCGCAUGAUACCUGAGGGUCAAAGGCGCAAGUCGCCUUGGGAGGAGCCUGCGUCUGAUUAGCUUGUUGGUGAGGUAAAGGCUCACCAAGGCUACGAUCAGUAGCUGGUCUGAGAGGAUGAUCAGCCACAUUGGGACUGAGACACGGCCCAAACUCCUACGGGAGGCAGCAGUGGGGAAUAUUGGACAAUGGGCGAAAGCCUGAUCCAGCAAUGCCGCGUGUGUGAAGAAGGUCUUCGGAUUGUAAAGCACUUUUGGCAGGGACGAUGAUGACGGUACCUGCAGAAUAAGCCCCGGCUAACUUCGUGCCAGCAGCCGCGGUAAUACGAAGGGGGCUAGCGUUGCUCGGAAUGACUGGGCGUAAAGGGCGCGUAGGCGGCAUGUACAGUCAGAAGUGAAAUUCCUGGGCUCAACCUGGGGACUGCUUUUGAUACGUGCAGGCUAGAGUGAGGAAGAGGGUUGUGGAAUUUCCAGUGUAGAGGUGAAAUUCGUAGAUAUUGGAAAGAACACCGGUGGCGAAGGCGGCAACCUGGUCCUUUACUGACGCUGAGGCGCGAAAGCGUGGGGAGCAAACAGGAUUAGAUACCCUGGUAGUCCACGCUGUAAACGAUGUGUGCUGGAUGUUGGGGAACUUAGUUUCUCAGUGUCGUAGCUAACGCGAUAAGCACACCGCCUGGGGAGUACGGCCGCAAGGUUGAAACUCAUAGGAAUUGACGGGGGCCCGCACAAGCGGUGGAGCAUGUGGUUUAAUUCGAAGCAACGCGCAGAACCUUACCAGGAUUUGACAUGGGGAGGACCGGUACAGAGAUGUACUUUUCCCGCAAGGGACCUUCCGCACAGGUGCUGCAUGGCUGUCGUCAGCUCGUGUCCUGAGAUGUUGGGUUAAGUCCCGCAACGAGCGCAACCCUCGCCUUUAGUUGCCA